UACGUAGGCAGCGAGCGUUGUUCGGAAUUACUGGGCGUAAAGAGUGUGUAGGCGGUGUUCCAAGUCUGGUGUGAAAUCUCCCGGCUCAACUGGGAGGGUGCGCCGGAAACUGGAAUGCUAGAGGGUGGGAGAGGUAAGCGGAAUUCCGUGGUGUAGCGGUGAAAUGCGUAGAUAUCAGGAGGAACACCUGUGGUGUAGACAGCUUACUGGACCACUUCUGACGCUGAGACACGAAAGCGUGGGUAGCAAACAGG
rnacentral:rRNA from 1 species